ACGGCUCAGUAACACGUGGAUAACCUGCCCUGCGGUGGGAAAUAACCCCGGGAAACUGGGGAUAAUGUCCCAUAGGCUACGGAUGCUGGAAUGCUCUGUAGCUCAAAGAUUUAUCGCCACAGGAUGGGUCUGCGGCCGAUUAGGUAGUUGUUGGGGUAACGGCCCAACAAGCCUUUGAUCGGUACGGGUUGUGGGAGCAAGAGCCCGGAGAUGGAUUCUGAGACACGAAUCCAGGCCCUACGGGGCGCAGCAGGCGCGAAAACUUUACAAUGCGGGAAACCGUGAUAAGGGAACUCCGAGUGUCCGUAAAUGCGGACUGUCCGUAUGUUUAAAAAGCAUGCGAAGAAAGGGCCGGGCAAGACCGGUGCCAGCCGCCGCGGUAAUACCGGCGGCUCGAGUGGUGGCCACUAUUACUGGGCUUAAAGCGUUCGUAGCUGGGUCGUUAAGUCUCUUGGGAAAUCUACCGGCUUAACCGAUAGGCGUCCAAGGGAUACUGGCGAUCUAGGGACCGGGAGAGGUGAGGGGUACUUCAGGGGUAGGAGUGAAAUCCUGUAAUCCUUGGGGGACCACCUGUGGCGAAGGCGCCUCACCAGAACGGCUCCGACAGUGAGGGACGAAAGCUGGGGGAGCAAACCGGAUUAGAUACCCGGGUAGUCCCAGCCGUAAACGAUGCGCGUUAGGUGUAUCGAUGACCACGAGUCAUCGAGGUGCCGAAGGGAAACCGUGAAACGCGCCGCCUGGGAAGUACGGUCGCAAGGCUGAAACUUAAAGGAAUUGGCGGGGGAGCAC
rnacentral:rRNA from 1 species